rnacentral:lncRNA from 1 species
CUUUUUGUUUGCUUCUUUUAUCUAGACGAGGGCUUUAAUUUCAAGGAGCUCACAUUCAAAUGGAGCAGAAAGGCACUGAACCCAGAAACAAAUAAUUCUCUAGGAUGGUGGCUGGAAGUGCAUUUGCUAAAGAACCUCACUUCUACCGAUCUCAUUUUCCACGCACUUACAAACGGACCAGAGGUUGCAAAAGUGAGUCUCUCCUCGCUUCUACCGAUCUCAUUUUCCACGCACUUACAAACGGACCAGUGGUUGCAAAAAUAGGAAAACCAAGGCACAGCGAGGGAAAAUUUGCCUAAAAAUCACACAGUUGGUUGGAAGUGAAGCCAGGAUUCCAGCCCAGGUCUGUGUGAUUCCAGCACCUGGACCCUGGACCACCGAGUUCACAGAGAAGGGACAUUUCUGCAGGGGAGAGCUGUGGUCAAAGAGAGGAAUAAAGCUUAGAAAGAGGAAGUUCGUGGGUUGCAAAGUGAGUAAUGGCUGCAUCUGGGAGCUGAUCAAAGGUGGCCAGCCAAGUUGAGUAGCCAGUUCGGUGUAUGAGACUUAACAACACUGUUUCCCCGGCCAUGGAAGGAGUCUUGAGCAGAGUGUGAGAAUGGCCAGGUGGCGGAAGUGUCUGAGAAGAUCCUGCAUCGAUCCAGAAGCAGUGGGAUAAGGAAGGAGCACUGGAUGGAAGUCAGGUGUCCUGGGGCCCAGCGCUGGCCCUGCCACACAUGGUGUGAGCGCUGAACCCCUGUCCACCUAGCAAAGGUCACAUGAUGUCCUGGACCCCUGUCCUGUCCUGGACCCAUGUCCUGUCCUGGACCCAUGUCCUGUCCUGGACCCCCUGUCCACCCAGCAAAGGUCACAUGAUGUCCUGGACACCUGUCCUGUCCUGGACCCCUGUCCACCCAGCAAAGGUUACAUGAUGCUGUCUGUAAGCUUCUUUUUAUGGUUCUGAUAUCCAAAGCCACUUAAUAGCGUGGAACUUCCACUUCUCCAGUUUAAAAGGUUAAAUAUGUAUAUCAGGCUGGCUGGGCUCAGUGGCUCACGUCUAUAGUCCCAGCUACUGGGGAGGCUGAGGUGGGAGGAUCACUUAAGCCUGGGAGGCGGAGGUUGCAGUAAGCCAAGAUGGUGCCACUGCACUCCAGCCUGGGUGACAGCGAGCCCCUGUCUCAAAAACUGUAUAUGUAUAUAAGGGCCUACAUUUUUGGUUAGGGAGAGAAAGAGAAUGAAUAAGAAGCUGGUUCUUGUAUCUUGAGUCAUUACAAACUCCUCUCUCUCCCCCUGCCUGAGGCGUCCUCCUUCUUCAUUCUCUAUUCAGUUUGCAAGGCUGUUAUUCCUGCCAAAUGAGUCAUUGAUGUGGGAAAGUUAAUUUAUUUUGGCAGACAUCACCAUUGCUCCGAGAAAUAGAGACUAUGCACCCACUGUCGCAGAAGACACAAAUUAUCGUGGUGAUUCAUUCAUUCCUCCCUGCAUUCAUUCAUUCCCAGAAUACGUGAUUGUUUCUGGAACAUACACAAAUGGGCAACCCUACCUGUUGUUUUCUGUCUCAGAGAGUAGAUGUGAGAAUUAAAUGAGGUAAUAUGUAAAAGUGCUUAUAUAAUAAUAAUAAUAACUAAUCC